AUGGGCUUGGGGGUGAGGCGGCUGGGAAGAGCUUGUCUGUUUCACCAAGAAGUAAGUGUGAAUGUGGGGAGAUGGGGGUGGAGGAGAGCACUGGGGUUGCCUAGCAACAGAGAUGAAGCUGACAGACAGGAUCCAGACCACUGCUGUCCAGGGUCUGGGGGGUUUCAAGAAACGGGGGCGCUGAUAUUUGGGAUCUUGUGUUUCUCUGGCCGAGAAGGUAUCCCCACCAUGGCCCUCCAAACUUCAGCAGAGUUGACUCCAGACUUGGGGGUCUUAGGGACCCCGGAGCCUAGAACAGAGAUUCAGUGGUAGCCGGAGAUUCAUUUACUGGGGAAUGAAGCAGUAGAGACAAAAGCAGACUCGGCCCCCUUUCCAGCCCCGGCCCUGCCAGUUGCAGAGAUGUUGAUGGCUAAGAAGAACCGGAUUACACGGAGACCUUUUUCUGAGACUGAGUUUCACUUUUUUUUUUUUUUUUUUUUUCUUUGAGACGGAGUCUUACUCUCGUCGCCCAGGCUGAGUGCAGUACCGGAUCUCAGCUCACUUCGCAAGCCCUCCGGUUUACGCCAUUCUCCUGCCCCCAGCCUCCCGAGUAGCUGGGACCACAGGCUUCACCACCUCACCGCUAGUUUUUGUAUUUUUAGUAGAGACGGCUUCACUGUGUUAGCCAGGAUGGUCUCGAUCUCCUGAUCUUCGUGAUCCCACUGCCUCGCCUCCCAAAGUGCUGGGAUUACAGGCUUGAGCCAUCACCGCCCUCUGAGUUUCACUCUUGUCAGCCAGGCUGGAAUGCAAUAGCAUGGUUUUGGCUCACUGAAACCUCUGCCUCCUGGGUUCAAGUGAUUCUCCAGCCUCAGCCUCCUGGAGUAGCUGGGAUUACAGGCACACGCCACCAUGCCUGGCUAAUUUUUUGUAUUUCUUAGUAGAGACAGGGUUUCACCAUGUUGGCCAGGCUGGUCUCUAACCCUGACUUCAAGUGAUCCUACCACCAGCCUCCCAAAGUGCUGGGAUUAGAUGUGAGCCACCACACCGUCUAUGAACUCCUCCUUAAGUGAGGGAGUCAUGGUGGCCAAGAAGGAUGCCCACCCGCCUAAGCAGCACCCAGAGCUGGCAGACAGGAAUGUGCCCAACCCACACAUCAUGAAGGCCAAACAGUCUCUCAAAUCACUUGGUGGGCCAUGUGAAGGGACCAGUUUGCUUGGAGACAUUUUUUUUUUUUGAGAUGAGCCCCUGCCAGGCUC
rnacentral:lncRNA from 1 species